rnacentral:lncRNA from 1 species
CUGUUGUAGGGUUGUCACUGACUCAGACGUACUUAUAUAUAUAUAUAUAUAUAUAAAGUGCCUAGAAAAUCAACCUAACGAUGUUAGAGUAGAUUUGAUUCGUAACUUCCUCCCCGGCGCCGGGGCUGGAACCUGUACUUUAUUUUCUAACUUCUACGACAACACCGCCUAGCAUUGCGCAGAGACCUUAUCCCCUCCUCUAACUCUAGCUUAUAAAAAUAAGCUUUCGUUUCGGGAGGUGUUACCUUCUUGUAGGAAUUAAACAAGGAUCUCUGAUACAAUACACGAAGUAUUUAUUUUAGUGUACAGAAAUGAUC